UACGUAGGGUGCGAGCGUUUGUCCGGAAUUAUUGGGCGUAAAGGGCUCGUAGGCGGUUUGUCGCGUCGGGAGUGAAAACACCGGGCUUAACUCGGUGCUUGCUUCCGAUACGGGCAGACUAGAGGCAUGCAGGGGGAGAACGGAAUUCCUGGUGUAGCGGUGAAAUGCGCAGAUAUCAGGAGGAACACCGGUGGCGAAGGCGGUUCUCUGGGCAUGUCCUGACGCUGAGGAGCGAAAGUGUGGGGAGCGAACAGG
rnacentral:rRNA from 1 species